AGCUAUUCCUAUCCCAAGUUCCCAACCCCAGCCGCAUCUAAUCCCCAGACCAUCGAACCCCCGCCGCCGCCGGCCUCCGCAUGUUGCUGCUCCGUCCGUCCUGCUCCGGCGCGUGGCGGCCCUCCGGAUUACCCCUGCUUUCGUGAGCGGCUGCCCUCGCGAUGGAUUCCUGUUCUUCUGAAUGAGCCUCCGCUUUGGUCGGCUUAUGCUGCCUGCGGCGCUGCUGCCGUCCGCCCGCCCGUGGCGAUGCGCCGGCCGCCACUAAGAUGCUUGAGGCGCGGAGCCUCCGGGCGCGCCCUGCUUCCGCCUGCUCGUGCUGCUGUGGCGGCUUGCGUGGCGUUCUCCCGCGAGGCUGCGACUGCAUCAUGUCGUCUCCGGCUGGGACGCGCUUCGCUCGUCCACAACGCGGCAGCAGGACUCGCUGAGCUCGUCCGCGAGUCUGCGGCAGCAUCACGUCGGAUCCGGCAAGGUCGCGCCUUCAUAUGCAUGGUUUCUGGGUCAUCCAAAAGAUGAACUGAAGAAUAUUCUUUUAUUAGCAACUCAGAUUCAGAUACGCUUUACAUGGCCUAAUGCUCCGUUUUUUGUACUGUUCAUCAUAUAUAUGUUUUUGAUAAGUCUGUCAAGUGACUUAACAUUUUUGAAGUAGCAAAACACGACCACAAAUCUGUCAUGGUCAUGGAGCUUGGUCAGAUAUUGAUCAGAUAUGUUUUGACCAUUAUGUGAAAUAUUUGAUCCAGAAAUGCAUCGAUUGUAUGACAUCCAAGCAUUCUAUUAUCUGUACCUUGACUACAUGUUUCCUCAUAGAAUCAUAUUUGUGGUGUAAUAUGAUCCAUCAAACUGUUUUGCAGGAAUUAUUUGCAUUUAAGAAUGUAAGUUUUCGCAUUUUUGGAGACAUGGUCAUUGAUAGAGUGGUCUUUGGUUUUUUCCAGCACUGGUAGGGGUUCAAUCGGAGUUUUAUGGAAUUCCCGCCCUCCAGGAUUCCCUUGGAAUUUAUGUUAUUGGGCAGAUAUUAAUGACAUAAGCAAUAUGAUUUUCACUAUCAGUUCACACAGUUCUUUAUCACUGUCCAGUUCAUCCUUAUUUUUUGCUACAUAUGUUUGAGAUUACAUUUCACCCGAGAGAUAUGCCUGACAGUAAUGUAAAUAUGCAGAGCGUGUAUCUAUUACUCAUUAGAAGAUUUCUUUGUAGACAAUGUUUUUGGCUUUAUUUUCUCCUGGACAUUCUGUGUCAUUGAUUAGAACCUUCAGUCCUUUCCUAUUUGUCACCCUUGAUAAUGCCACAUAUAACUGACCAUGGCAGAACACCUGUUUAGAUAAAUAUAUGCCCACCUUGUUAAGAGACUGACCCUGACUCUUAUUGAUUGUCAUUGCGAAGCAGACAGACAGGGGGUAUUGCCUUCUUUUCAGCACGAACGGCCACUUUGAGUCAUUUGGCGACAUGACGAUUCUGGACCUGCUGAUUGGUUGAUGUUUCGAAGGAGCACGACCGGCAUGCCUACUUUGAGCUUAAGCUCGUGGUUUGGGAUACCAGGAAACUUCAAGCUGUUUAGAAAUUCUGUAGGAUACAUCUGGUUCAUGCUCCUGUUGUUUGUAGAUGCUUUGCACACGCUGUCCGAGCUAUGGAUUUGUCGAAAGUCUCCUCCCAGCACAACAGUCAUCCCACCAAAUGGCUUUUCAUUGCUGUUCUGGUUUGUAAAUCUGAGUAUAUCUCUCAGACUUUUGUCUAGUGCCUCAAAGCAAUUCCUGUUUGCCAUUGGAGCUUCAUCCCAAAUAAUUAUUGAGGUUUUCUUUAGCAGCUCUGCGAGAUGGGUUCCUUGUUUGAUUUCACAUGUGGAUUCUUCUGUUAUGUUAAGUGGAAUUUUGAAUCUGGAGUGUGCUGUUCUUCCGCCUGGUAUUAGUAAGGCAGCUAUAGCGCAUGAUGCCACAGCAAGUACUAUCUUUCCUUCAUAUCGUAGCUUUGUUGUAAUGGCUUUCCAUAGGUAUGUCUUUCCUGUACCACCGUGGCCUUCGACAAAUAUUUGCUUUCCAAGUCCAUUUUCUACCGACUCCAUUAUCGCAUCGUAUGCUUUUUUUUGCUCAGGAUUUAUGUUUUUGAGUAUUGUUUGUAGUUCUUCUUUCAAGCUGUCCCUGUCAUAGUUUAGCUCUUCAUUUAUCAAUAUGUUCCCAAGUUCUUGUAGCUCAUCUGCAUUUGGCAAUUCUAUAUCUGGGUAAUUUUUUAGGGACCUUCCUGCUUGUUGCAUCAGCUUCUCUAUUUCAAUCAAAGUGUAUGUCUUUUUCUGAGAUGCAGUUAACUGCAGUGUCGGGAAGUUUAGGAUUAAUCUUCUCUUGUGUUGUAUGUCUUCGGAUAAUGCCUCCCAGGUUGAUUCCCAAAAUCUUUUUGGUUCAGUUACUUCACAGUGGCACAAAAUGGUCGCGAAUAGCAGUCUUAAUUGGGUUCCAGUAGCCCUGUUAGCUGCUUCGUUCACACACUCGAUCCAUUCAUUGUCAUCAUCAAGAAAACCCAUGGCCUGGCAUGCUGCUUUAAAUGUUGCAUGUACAACUCCAGCCACUGUUCUUAUUUCUUCAUAUGACAUGCAUCCUUUGACAGUGUUCAGCAGCAUCCGGAGGUAGUACCUUUCUCCACUUGUUGGAUGUGCAUAGUAGAUCCUUCCUAUUGCAUAUCCUUGUUUUCUCUUUUCCCAUUUUUUUCUUUUGCUUUCCAUACCCAUCUAUUAGGGAAAUCUACAUAUGACAAUUCUCUUGCUUCUUCGUGAUGUUUAUUUGCAUUCAUCCAUUCAGUGAACUUAGUUUCCUUGACUCCCUCCUUUCUGACUAUGUUUCUUAUAUCGGUAGAGUCUGGGAAGAUAAUCUGUUGUUCAUUCUCGAGAUGGAAAUUGAGCCUCUCAACGGGCGGAUCUCGAUAGUUGAGGUCAAAUUGGAAUAGCCUCCAGCAUGCCUCUGUUGCUGAUAUGUAUCUCAUCUCUAAGUAUUUCUUGAUCUCGUCAGUUUCAUUUUUUGACGUGUUUUCCUUGAGUAAUCCAACUACAUAGUCAACUCCUUUAUGAAUGUACUUGAAUAGGUAUUUGAUAGACCUAGAUCUGUUGCACCAUUCCACAUUAAUGUGAGCUUGGAAUUUGACCAGGAGAUCCCUAUUAUAUGGUACGACAAAUCUGUUGUCUAGUGUAGCUUUUCCCUUUUUGAUUUGUCUCCCAUUGUCUCUCCUCUUGUACACCGGAAACCCUUCUUCAUCAAUUGUUGUUUCUGAGUUGUAUUUUUUUGGAAAAUGUUUGGUGCAUCUGUUUUCUACCAUGCAUGGAGAUUUUGUGUUUGCCUCUCCACACGGUCCGUGCAUCAUAUAAUUUUCCACAGCUGCAUAUGCUUCAGGGUCCUCAUCCUUGUCUGGUAUCUCUGCACAUAUUAUAUCAUCUAUCUGUGAUGGAUCAUGGCAUUUGCUUUUGUCCUUAAGAAAUAUCAAUAUAUGUGCAUGCGGGAGUCCUCUUUUCUGGAACUCAAUUGUGUACAGGACUGCAUUAGAAUUUAAAAUUUUUGUUAGUUUUCGAACAUUCAAUUAUAUAGAUAACAUAAAACAUAGUAGUAUAUUAAUAUUUUAUUGGAUCUCACCUGAUGUAGUUUCUCCGAAUCUUUUUCCUUGCACUAUGUCCCGUAGUAGCUCCUUUAGUUUAAUCAUGAACACUCGGUCUACAAUAUCGGGCCGUUCAGCUAGUUUUUGUUUGCUUCCUGUUUCAUCUAGCAUGUACUGGAUUUCUGGCCAUUUUGCGUUGCAAGUGAAUGUGAUAAAUAGGUUUGGGUAUCCAGCCCAACGGCAGAUGGCCAUCGCAUCUUGGAAGUUUUGCAUCUUGUUUCGUAUACUCCCUGUGAAACUUGAAGGUAGCAGUAUCCUCUUUCCAACAUAUUCUGCUCUGGUGUCACCGCUUUCGAUUGCGUCUUGCAAUCCGCUGUAGAGUUCAGUACGUAAUUUCCCUUGAUUGUGCCUUAUCCAGUUUAGAGUGUUCUGCUCGAUGCAUGUGUAAGCAUCGACCCAAAAUUGCAAAGAUAAGUGUCCAGACAUCAGCAAUGACAUAGAUUGGUUAGGGCGAUGGUGAAGGUAGUAUGCGUGAAAUUCAAGCAUAGAUACUUUGUUCCUUUUGUAUGUUAUUCCAUCUUUUUGUUGAUAUGGUAUUUUAAUGUUGAAUCCAUCUUCUCCGUACGGGAAUAGCAGUGGGUAUUGCAGAGACAUGAAUUUUGGAUGGAUUUCUGAUAUCUGUUUAGGCCCCAUAUCUUUGUACUCAAUGAUGAUGUCCCGCCCUUUGGCUUCAUCUGUUGGAUCUUUUAUGACCAGUGCUGCAACCUCAUCUGCUCCUGGCAAACCGUGUGUCCCGUUUCUAUUUCGAUCUGCUAUUAGCUUUAGAGUGUAAUCAUGGUAGUCUAGGUUUUUGAAUCUUUCCUUUGCCAUUCGGAAUGAUUGAGCUAGGACAUUGUUCUCAUCUAGCAUGCUCUGAAGACCAGCCACAAUAGUAGGGUUAAUCGGUGUUUUUCCAUUGUUACUUCUCGAUGCAUCUAUCCUGUUUUGUACCUCAUUCUCUGUAUCGUAGAUGUAUAGCUGUGCCCAGUGUGGCUUGCUACCUUCUGGCAGUAGAGUUCCAAUAUGAUGAUAGUUUUGGCCAUGCAUGCGGAAUACGUAUGGCCCAUGGCCUUUGUUUAUCUCUUUGUCUACAACCCCUCCUAUGGAUGUGAAUGAGAACAUUGAGUUGUAAGACCGGAUGUUUUCUCUGAAGUUUUUAGAAUCUUCUCCUUCACCAUUCAAAAGAUUGUCGAGAUAAUUCGGUGGAUUUUUGCGUGGAGGCAGUCUGAUUUUUCCUUGAUUGCAGCACAUUCCAAAAGCUGGUUUUUUAGUUUUGACUUUGGGUCUUAGUCUUUCCUCGUACCAUAGGAGAGCAUCGCAGUGUUCACAUCUGUAUUUUGGCUUUCCGAAGUUCCAUAUAUUACUUUCAGCAUCGCCCCUCUUCUGUGUUUCGCCAGAUGCAUUGCUACUGUUAUCUUGAUUUGCAUCUUCAUUGCAUGUUCUUGAACGCUUUAGUUUUCUCUUUUCUUUAAGUAUUUCUUUUCUCUUCAGUCUUGCCAGUCGAUAUUUCAUCUUGGUCGUUUCCUCUAUAGUGCAUGCUCUUUUUUUGCCCCUUUUAAGGUUUAGUUGUUCCUUCCUCCUCUUUCUGUUUUGCGAUGCUUCUUCCUUUCGAUGGUUCUCCAUUAGUUUUUUUGCCUGUUUCAGAUGUAAAAUUAAGGCAACAUGAAAGAGAACAUGUUUCUUGUUAUAGACUUCAAUGUGUAGUAGCAGGCAUUAAAGAAAAUUAAAUUUUCAUGUAUUUUAAAUUUAUAUGUAGUAAUUUUAUUGUUUCGACUAACAUAAUUAUGCAUGAUAUGUAUAUGCAGUGCACUAAAGGCAUGAAAGAGAAGAGGUCCACAUGAUACUUGCCAGAGGAUGCAAUUGAAGAAUGCAGAAAGCUCUAUGGUGGACAUGGUUACUUGAACAGCAGUGGGCUUCCUGAAUUAUUUGCCGUCUAUGUUCCUGCAUGCACUUAUAAAGGAGACAUAUUGGUUGAGUAUGUGUGGCACGGCAUAUUGUAUUCCAUAGAAGCGGUUUUUGCCUUUGCCUCUACUACAUUUUGGCUAAUGGUGUAUUAAUAGGCAGCCUUCUGAUGGUGAUACCUGCAGGUUGCAAGGAUUCUAAUGAAGACUGUUUCUUAAUUGAUUUCAGAUGUAAAAUUAAGGCAACAUGAAAGAGAAGAUGUAAAUAUUUUCUUGUUAUAGACUUCUAGCAGUUGCCGCCAAGGUAUUAAUAGAAUUUUCUUUAACCUGUUUUAGAUUUUGUAAAAAUACUAAGUACCAGAGCUAACUGAGCUAACAGAGCUUUCACAUUGACAGCUAAGGACUGGCCUGAUAAUAAUCAUGAUUUAAUUCUUAAGCUUUUUUAUCCUAACUUGUCCAUGUAGAUUCAUAAUUUUUAUUGAAUAUGUAAUGUGUGGUUGCGUGGACCCAGAUACACUGGAACACAAUAUUAUUAUUAUGAUGUUUAUAACUUAGAGCCUAGUGCUCGUGUAAUCUUUUGUUUUUUUAAUUAUGUCUGUAAAUUGGUUAAUUUGCUGGAUUUAAAGAUUUCCUGUAUCCUGUUAUUUAUCCGGAUGUAUCCGAGCUUUAUAUUAGGAGGUUUUGAUUUGUUAUUUUGUUUUGGCAGGGUGACGCUGACAGCUCGUUGGACAGGCUGUGGCAGAAGAGGAAGGCUGACUAACAAAAUUAUGCAUGAUAUGUAUAUGCAGUGCACUAAAGGCAUGAAAGAGAAGAGGCCCACAUGAUACUUGCCAGAAGUACACUCCAGUUUAGAUUUUUGUCUCCCACGAACUGUUGUGUUUCCCGAUGCUUUUUUUAAUGAAUUGUAAUGCUACAAAUAAAUAUGUUCGCAUAAGCAGCCCGUAAAGAAUAUGGUUUUUGAUUCUUGGAGCAGAAGAUGAACGAUGGAAAAUACCUGUCUUUGAUCGUUUGUUGAUGGUUGAAUCUAUUUUUUCAAAAAGGCUACGGAAUUAGAUUAGUAUAUGUAAAUAUUUGGAGAAAGCAUGAACUGAGAUUUGAGUUAUAUAGUUUCUAUUA